GUGCUCUCUUCAGCCGCACAAAUACUAAAAUUGGAAUGAUACAGAGAAGAUUAUCAUGGCCCUUGUACAGGAUGACAUACAAAUUCAUGAAAUAUUCCUGAUUCAU
ensembl:snRNA U6 U6 spliceosomal RNA